UUCCUCGAGGCGGAUUUGAACCAGCGACCUAAGGAUCACCGUUGUGACAUCUACAGUCCUCCGCUCUGCCAACUGAGCUAUCGAAGGA
rnacentral:tRNA from 1 species